GAUGAACGCUGGCGGCGUGCCUAAUACAUGCAAGUCGAGCGAACAGACGAGGAGCUUGCUCCUCUGACGUUAGCGGCGGACGGGUGAGUAACACGUGGAUAACCGACCUAUAAGACUGGGAUAACUUCGGGAAACCGGAGCUAAUACCGGAUAAUAUAUUGAACCUCAUGGUUCAAUAGUGAAAGGCGGUUUUGCUGUCACUUAUAGAUGGAUCCGCGCCGCAUUAGCUAGUUGGUAAGGUAACGGCUUACCAAGGCAACGAUGCGUAGCCGACCUGAGAGGGUGAUCGGCCACACUGGAACUGAGACACGGUCCAGACUCCUACGGGAGGCAGCAGUAGGGAAUCUUCCGCAAUGGGCGAAAGCUUGACGGAGCAACGCCGCGUGAGUGAUGAAGGUCUUCGGAUCGUAAAACUCUGUUAUUAGGGAAGAACAAAUGUGUAAGUAACUAUGCACGUCUUGACGGUACCUAAUCAGAAAGCCACGGCUAACUACGUG
rnacentral:rRNA from 1 species